GGGUCAGACGAGCAGACACCCAUUGAAGUUCUGCUCUACCGUUAAAAGGAAGUAAACCAUCAUG
rnacentral:sRNA from 1 species